AAAAAGGGUUCGUAGGUGACCUGCGGAGGAUCAUUAACGAAGCAUUAGAGAGGUUGUAGCUGCCUUGAAAGAGGAUGUGCACGCCUUUCAAAUCUUCCCUUACCACCUGUGAACUCUUCUUAGACUGUGAUAACCUUCACUGAAAAUGUGGAUAGAGGAUUUGCAAGUUUUGCUUAUCUUCGAUUUCACAGUCUAUGUUUACAUACACUACGAAAUAUAAGAAUGUUGUUUUACUUGCUGUAAUGGCUUGUAAUAAUUAAAUACAACUUUCAGCAACGGAUCUCUUGGCUCUCGCAUCGAUGAAGAACGCAGCGAAAUGCGAUAAGUAAUGUGAAUUGCAGAAUUCAGUGAAUCAUCGAAUCUUUGAACGCACCUUGCACCCUUUGGUAUUCCGAAGGGUAUGCCUGUUUGAGUGUCAUUUAAUUCUCAAACUUAACGAGUUUGACUUGUUAAGCUUUGGAAGUGGAAGUUGCUGGCAUAUGUCGGCUCUUCUUAAAUGUAUUAGUGGCUUGUCGAUCCCCAUUAUUGGUGUGAUAGUCAUAUCUACAUCAAAUAUAAUGGCUAGAUCAUGCGAUGACAAUUAUGGCUGCUUUCUAACCGUCUGGCUUGCUAGACAACUUGAACCAUUUGGCCUCAAAUCAGGUAGGAUUACCCGCUGAACUUAAGCAUAUCAAUAAGCGGAGGAAAAGAAACUAACAAGGAUUCCCCUAGUAACUGCGAGUGAAGCGGGAAAAGCUCAAAUUUAAAAUCUGACAGUUUCACUGUCCGAGUUGUAAUUUAGAGAAGUGUUACCCGCGCUGGACCAUGUAUAAGUCUUCUGGAAUGGAGCAUCAUUGAGGGUGAGAAUCCCGUCUUUGACAUGGACUACCAGGGCAUUGUGGUACGCUCUCGACGAGUCGAGUUGUUUGGGAAUGCAGCUCAAAAUGGGUGGUAAAUUCCAUCUAAAGCUAAAUAUUGGCGAGAGACCGAUAGCGAACAAGUACCGUGAGGGAAAGAUGAAAAGAACUUUGGAAAGAGAGUUAAACAGUACGUGAAAUUGCUGAAAGGGAAACGCUUGAAGUUAGUCGCGUUAAUUAAAGAUCAACCUGGCUUGCCUGGUGUACUCUUUAAUUGAUGGGUCAACAUCAGUUUUGAUCAUUGGAUAAGGAUGGAGGGAAUGUGGCUCCUUUAGGAGUGUUAUAGCCUUCUAUCGUAUAUCAGUGGUUGGGACCUGAGGCUCUCAGCACGCUU
rnacentral:rRNA from 1 species